GAAAGCUUUUCUGUUUAAAGAGCAGCGGGGACGGAUUGUUCAGGCUCGCAGGUUGAACGGAACCUCUUCUGCUGCUGAGAGAAAUCAUUUUGACAAGGUGUCCUACAGAAUAAUACUGGAGUGGAUCUAUAUAGAACAGUCCAUUUAGUGCCUAAAUGAUACAUUUUAAAACAAACAAGCAGUGUAUCAGGAAAGUAUCAGAGCAAUUAGUCUCAAUCAAUUGUAUUUUAUUUAAUAAUAGAAGCCAAAAAUACAUUAUGUGCCUUUACACCAGAAUAUCAUUACCUCCUAUUUUGUGUAAUUCAUAAUCACACGGUAAUGUGUGACAGAGUGUGUGUCAGUGGUAGAACUGGAAACAUUUUUUGUUUUUUAAGAGAAUGCUGUCCAUUUUUUGUUUUUCUGUUCAGUCAUCACAGUGGGCUUCCUUACUGUAUCUUCUUGCUGCUGCUAAAACACAACUUCUUCGUCAUCAUGUUUAGUCAAUUUAAAGCAAUAGGUUAAAGUACAGGGAAAAUAUUUCAAGAUGAAGUCUGACUUGAAACACAAGGGGAGAUGUGUUGCCUUUUUAUUAAAUUUACCAAAAUCAAGUAUUUCAAGUAUAACUGUGAAGAUAUAAUAAGAUACGAUGUCUGCAUUAAAAUGUCUAAAAGUGACUAGAUAGUUGUUAUAUGGUCUGUUGAGUUACUUGAGUUUCUUGAAUUAUUUCAAACGUUUCCAACAAUGUUCAAACAUUCUAUUUCAUUUUAUUUAUGGUUACGGUUCAUUUCAUUUGUUAUUUCUCACUUCUUGGGAGAGAGUCACAGAAUGACUAAGAAGGUCGGCAAACACAAUUAAAUGUAACGUGAAUAAAACGUGACCUCGAGAGUUUAUACCUGAGUCACGUGGAUAGAUUAUUCAUCAGCAGUGGUUGCUGUUAAAUAGUAUGUUUGCCUGAGUCGUGUUACUCAUGCCGAUUGACAACAGGAUCGUUUGAGAUUAAACAUGCUACUUGCGCAAGUGUUUAUUCAGCCUAAACAGCAAUAUUACUUUGCUGUACAUAAACUAGCCAUCAAGGGUGCUGACACUGAGUGUGUGUGUCUUUGUGUUCCAAUACAGAUCAACCUUUCUGAACUCAGCACUCACCACGGACUCCAGGGCACUUUUUCCACUCUCCUCUUUGUAAUAUUCAUGAGGCAUGUUCAAGGACGACUUCACGUCUGGAAUAUAAUGUAAGUGCAAAACUCAAUAAAACAGAGGCAUUUUAAUUUAAGAUUUUACAUAUU
ensembl:lncRNA